UACGAAGGGGGCUAGCGUUGCUCGGAAUCACUGGGCGUAAAGCGCACGUAGGCGGCUUCUUAAGUCAGGGGUGAAAUCCUGGAGCUCAACUCCAGAACUGCCUUUGAUACUGGGAAGCUUGAGUCCGGAAGAGGUGAGUGGAACUCCGAGUGUAGAGGUGAAAAUUCGUAGAUAUUCGGAAGAACACCAGUGGCGAAGGCGGCUCACUGGUCCGGUACUGACGCUGAGGUGCGAAAGCUAGGGGAGCGAACGGG
rnacentral:rRNA from 1 species